GGUCGACUAGCUCAGUUGGUUAGAGCGUGGUGCUAAUACCGUGAGAGUUGCUUACGUACGCCAAGGUCGUCGGUUCGACCCCGGCGUGGGCCA